GAUGAACGCUAGCGGCAGGCUUAAUACAUGCAAGUCGGGGGGCAGCAGGAUUGUAGCAAUACAGUUGCUGGCGACCGGCAAACGGGUGCGGAACACGUACGCAACCUUCCUUUAACUGGGAGAUAGCCCAUAGAAAGGUGGAUUAAUAUCCCAUAGAAUAUUUGAAUGGCAUCAUUUAGAUAUUAAAGCUCCGGCGGUUAAAGAUGGGCGUGCGUCUGAUUAGGUAGUUGGCGGGGUAACGGCCCACCAAGCCCACGAUCAGUAGCUGAUGUGAGAGCAUGAUCAGCCACACGGGCACUGAGACACGGGCCCGACUCCUACGGGAGGCAGCAGUAAGGAAUAUUGGUCAAUGGACGCAAGGCUGAACCAGCCAUGCCGCGUGGAGGAUGAAGGCCCUCUGGGUUGUAAACUUCUUUUCUUUGGGACGAAACCCCUGUUUCUACGGGGACUGACGGUACCAGAGGAAUAAGCACCGGCUAACUCCGUGCCAGCAGCCGCGGUAAAAC
rnacentral:rRNA from 1 species